UCUGGAAGGAAUUUUGCUCCUUGCAGCCGUGGAAACCGUGUCUCAACAGAUUCCCAGGGCUGCUGGCAUAAAGGACCGCACACUCUGGUCCCCUCUCCCCAGGGCUGGGGGCCAGAGGCGGAGGUCAGGGUGUGGGCGGCUGGGGCUCCCCCACCCCCGGCUCUAGAGGAGGAGCCUGCCUGUGUCCCCAGCUCCUGGCGGCUCUCAGCAGGUCUAGACCCCUCGCUCCCAUCCCGCCCCCACCGUCACGGGGCUUCUUCUUGGGGGGUUGCGUGCCUCGGAUCAGGGGGUCACCUCCUCCAGGACGACCUCCUCUCUGCUGAUUACAUCGGCGACGACCCUGAUGCCAAACGUCACAGGUGCAGGCGGAGGCGGAGAACCGUCUCCACACCCGAGCGAAAGAACGGCCGAGCCCGUGGAGCCGCUGCGGUUGUGCAACAAAAGACGAAGGCCGCCAAGGGCCCCGCUCAGUCUCCGAAACGUGAUAAGGAAUGUGACUUUGAACUCAUUAACCUGCCAUCGGGUUAUGACUACCGGCGACCAGAGCGGGUGCCCUGACGCUCCCAGAGGCUGCCCUGCCCGCGGCGGGGGAGGCACUCCCAGGUGGGCCCUGGGCCAGGUGGCACCCGAGGUCCAGCUCCCCAGCACCCACCCCCAAGGAGAGGCCCCGGGCCCACUCCCUUCUCCUUGCCAAGGUGUAGACCCCAAGCCCAGGAGGAUAUCCUGGUGACACUACUUUUCCCUCCACCACUGGGGUCCCAGGUCGCGAUGUUAUGUUUAAAUUCAAGGGUGACAGCACCGGGAGGGUCCUGAGAAGGGGGCUGUAGGGCUUGGGCCCGGGGGGGACACAGCCAGCAGGACGGGCUGGCCCGCGGCCCAGAGAGCAGUGAGGGCUGUGGACAGUCACAGAGGCACCUGUGCCCCCACACAGGGGAGGCGUCCCUGGAGAGCGGGCAGGGUCCCUGCGGCCACCCCUCAGUGUGCAAGCUGGCUCUGGCCACAGGGGCCGAGCCCGUCCCUGUCCCCCUGGGCAGCCUACAUUGUCCCCCAGCUGCAGGAAGGGGGCUGGGCCUGCGGGGCCCACAGGCAGACCCAGGCCCAGGGCUGACAGAGCAGCAGAGGGAGGUGACUUGGAGGGGCCAUAGGAAGGGGGCCGCAGGGGACAGGGCAUGAACAGUGGGGAGACCCCUCAACGAGCAGGCAUUGUAUUAGUCAGGGUCCUCCAGAGCAGCAGAACCAACGCGAGGCAGGCAGGGAAGCAGACAGAUCCAUUCUGAGGCCGUGGCCUCCGUCUGCAGGCUGGAGGCCUGGGAGAGCCGGAGUGUGAAGGCCUGAGAACCAGAAGCUCGAGCCCCUGUCUGGGCCCAAGGGCAGGAGGACAGGGACGGCCCAGCUCAGCAUCGGCAAAGAGCCACGCCCCCUUUCUCCCCCUGCCCCCCGGGGUGGGCGUCUUCUUCCCCUGCAGCCCCUCCGGCUGGCCCUCUCUCCCUCCCCAGGCCUCAGAAAGAGGGGUGGGCUUGGCCAUGGUCAGAAGCCGUCCAGGGCCAGCUGCCUGGGUGGGGGCCGGGACCAUGGGCCGGGGGUCCAUAGAGGGGGUCACACAGAGGCAGCCCCCAACCCCUCCUGCUGCCCCCCCAGGGCUGCUUUGGGGGGGGUACCAAUUUCUGGGGGAGAAACGCAGGACAGGGCGGGGCUCGGCAUUGGCGGGGAGUGGGGGCUCGCCCCCACAGGCCUGCACUCAGGGAGGGGCGCCAGGUGUCCCAGAGCAGCAAGGCGGGUGCUGGGUUUGUGAGGACAGUUCUGCCUUCUUGUCUUCAGUCCAUACGCCUUAAUUUCCUUCUUUGUGGACUUCAGAUAACCUCACACAUCAGGAAAAUGCUUGCAGCCCUUCAUGGUCGAGCCGGCAGAGAUAGACCCAAGGCUUCCCCACGCCCCCCGCCCCGUCCCAUGCUCGUGCAGCCAUCGCCCGCCCUCCGCCACCUCCCCGCAGUCCCCAGCAUGCCUCCCACCCCGGACCUCACUUCCCUACCCAGCCGCCUCCUGGCCGAUGCGACAGAACUCGUGCCAGCGGACACGCAGCCGAACUCCGUGUAAACACGCCUGGUGCAGUUGGUACAGGAGGCUGCCCCUCGGGCCUGCUGGCCGUGCUCCCCGCCCGGAGCACCUUGGACCUGCAGCCAGUGAGGACAAGGUUCCUUUCCCAUGAAGUCCUCCCAGGCGACGGGUUCCCCGUGCUGCGCGGCAGGCCCUUGGCGGGGGUCUGUUUAUUCAGAGAAGUGCAUGUCUGUUAACCCCAAACUCCUCAUCCCUCCCUCUCCUGCCCCUUAUAAGUUUGUUUUCUGGGUCUGUGAGGUGCCAGUUUCUUUUAAAUUGACCCUAAAAGUCACAGGAUGGCAGAGGAGCCGCCACCCGGGGCCCACAGGGGUUCCCGCGCCUUCCCUCCUGCAGGAUCACGCGGGAGCCGGCACACUUGGAAGACAGUCCCCAGAGCAAGGAGGGGACGUCAGGGGCUGGAUGCCCAGCAGCCAGGAGGCAGCAGGCUGGGGGGACCCCGGGGAACACCCAUCUGCGGGGCAGCGGCUGAAGCCCAGGGCCGGGUGCCAACUCCAGGGUCCUUUGUCCAGGUUCGAGCUAAUGACCGCACGCUUGGCCACGAUCGGACACCACAGAGCUUCCCACGGGCUGUGGGCCGGCGGCCCUGUGGGCUUGUGCAGUUCAUGCUCAUUUCACACAGAGACAGGCCUGGCUCUGACCUUGUCCCAGCCCUUCAGGGGCUCCCCACACCCUCCUGAGUGCCAGCCUUGAACCUGAGUCAGACAGCGAGUCCCUGGCUCCCGGGUGACGCCUGGCAAGGCGAGGGCAGACAAUAGCUCACCUGCGUAGGUUCGGGGGCGGGGGGGGGGGCGGCCCUUCCGCCCAUGCCCGAGGGUGUUCCCAGGGUGUGGACGGCUCCCUCCAAAACCCAAGAGCAAAGUCCAAGCCAAGGGGCUGAGGGCAGAUGGGGAAGUGGGGAAGUACGGGCCAGAGCCGGCAGCCAGCUCUCACCCCUGGAGUCACCGCCACACAAACCACCUUCCCCCAAACCCUUGCCUCGGGUCUGCCUUUGGGGACCUCGAGUGGGGGCCAAGGGACCAGCUCUGAGCAGCUCGGGCUGAGGGUGCUGAGCCGGGCACGCAGAGUGGGCCGGGUGCUCCGCUCGCCUGGCUCAGCCGUGAAGACCGGGAGGGUUUACUCAGAGCCGGGCGGGCGGGGAGAGACGCUGUGAGUCCUUUAGGCACAGACGUCGUCACUGCGUCACAGCAAAGCCUCCUGACACCCUGGGACGUCACCCUGCAUUCGCACCCUUCCUUUCUCGGAGCUGAGCCCAAGAAUCCUCUCCUUAUUUAGACGAGGUUGGAAAUAAGUGCAGCGGCAGCUAACGGCUGAUUAAAUCGGUGAAAACGGGUGGAGGGAGGCCGCUGGAACACCCCUGGGAAUGAUGUUGUUACCUGCGGAGACGGUGGCCCUUAUUGGCCACAGCCUUGACCUUGUGGGAGGCCCCCCCCCCCCAAGGGCGUCUCUACCCCAGAGUCCCCGGGUGCCCGCCUGAGCCUCUGCCUGGGGCCAGCAGGGCACCCUGGGAAAAUCCCGCCAGGGCAUGCCAGCCCCUCCCCCGGCAUGACAUCCGGAGGCUUCCCGGGGACACGCCUUCAGGAACUGCUGUGUUUAAAAACCAAAUUGGAAUAAAAGCCAAGUUCCUUAGGCAU